rnacentral:rRNA from 1 species
UAGGGAAUUUUUCACAAUGAGCGAAAGCUUGAUGGAGCAAUGCCGCGUGAACGAUGAAGGUCUUUAAGAUUGUAAAGUUCUUUUAUUUGGGAAGAAUGACUUUAGCAGGUAAUGGCUAGAGUUUGACUGUACCAUUUUGAAUAAGUGACGGCUAACUAUGUGCCAGCAGUCGCGGUAAUACAUAGGUCGCAAGCGUUAUCCGGAUUUAUUGGGCGUAAAGCAAGCGCAGGCGGAUUGAAAAGUCUGGUGUUAAAGGCAGCUGCUUAACAGUUGUAUGCAUUGGAAACUAUUAAUCUAGAGUGUGGUAGGGAGUUUUGGAAUUUCAUGUGGAGCGGUGAAAUGCGUAGAUAUAUGAAGGAACACCAGUGGCGAAGGCGAAAACUUAGGCCAUUACUGACGCUUAGGCUUGAAAGUGUGGGGAGCAAAUAGGAUUAGAUACCCUAGUAGUCCACACCGUAAACGAUAGAUACUAGCUGUCGGGGCGAUCCCCUCGGUAGUGAAGUUAACACAUUAAGUAUCUCGCCUGGGUAGUACAUUCGCAAGAAUG